rnacentral:rRNA from 1 species
UACGUAGGAUGCAAGCGUUGUCCGGAGUUACUGGGCGUAAAGCGUGUGCAGGCGGCUCAUUGCGCCCGGCGUGAAAGCCCCCGGCUCAACCGGGGAGAGUCGUCGGGGACGGGUGAGCUUGAGGGUAUCAGGGGCUGGUGGAAUUCCCGGUGUAGUGGUGAAAUGCGUAGAUAUCGGGAGGAACACCCGUGGCGAAGGCGGCCAGCUGGGAUACACCUGACGCUGAGACACGAAGGCGUGGGGAGCGAACGGG